UGUAGAUGAGCCGAUAUAUAGUGAGAAAAAGAAAAUGCGUGAGAUGGAGUGCGCUCUCAGACUCAAAAGGAGCAGCCCCCAUCAAGUGCAAAACCCCGCAAGAAAUCAUGCAGCUCUACGGCAGCUACCUGACCCUCAGGGAGCAAAGAGAACUCUUGGCCAUGCAGGAGAUAUGGUACCUUGGGCUCCAAAAUCAGGCCCGGGGCAAGUACAACCAUGGCUACGAUGACGACCAACACCGUUAUAUUCCGGUAAAACACGAGCACCUCAACUUUCGGUAUGAGGUGCUGAAGACGAUUGGGGAGGGCGGUCAAGGCAUAGUGGUCGAGUGUCUUGACCACAUGACAAACACCCUGGUGGCGGUGAAAAUACUCAGAACUCCAUUGAGGUAAGACUCCACACUGGCACGUGCCACAAUGUGGUGGAUAUUAUUAACGCAACUAUUACG